AGGCACUGACGUUAGCCCCUCGUCACAAAUUUAAGAGGACACCUUAGGCCAGCCUGGGAUGGGGAACAUUGGUGUGGAAACAAGAUGGAAGGCUGGUGACACUUUCAACUCACGACGAUGGGAGAUUCAAGUCUUAAGUCUGAAGGCAACAUCCAGGAAGAAUCUGGGAGCAAGGAGUGCUGAAUGCUCGGUUUUGGGGGCGUUUCCAUUCAAUAAUGAAAUAUGAAAAAGGAGGCAGAAAACCCAGUAGCUACUACUCACCGACUUCGUGAGGUUCCCCUCGAGCUAAACCAGGCAGCUGGAGAUACUGCAUGACAACCCUGGGGAUGGGACGAGAACCAACCAGUUUAUGUGCACAGCAACUCAGUGGUCAGACUGAGUUCAGACUCCAUUAAUGAACAACUGAAGACUGGCACAGAUAAAUCCAAGGUCACUGUGCCAUGGGCUCCAGCAUCGUUAAAGGCCGCGAUGGUGGAGCAGGAUGAGUUAAUAUUUAAUCACUGCGUAAAUUAAAAAUUAAUCUUCUUAUUCCAUACUAUUAACAGACAUCCUGAACUAUAUUACGCAAUCUUGUAUUUUGUACCCUGACAGGCAGUAACUAUCAAUGAACAGUAAUGUGACAGCUGGCAAAAUAUUAAUUGCAUAAAUGCAGUGUCAUCUAACAGGCAUAUAAUGAGUAAACCAGAUUGCCCGUUCGCCCAGAUGCCACGUGGGCAUGAGAACACACUGGCGCAGCAGCGUUUACAGGUGGAGCUGCCACGUGACGUUCCUCACUGCCCUCCCUGGCCUCGGUGGGACUUGACAAGCAUUUUGUGAAGACUUCAGUCGGCAGCCGAAGAACGGCGUGUGGCCACACAAAGCAUUCCUGGCAUACUGGAGACGAGACCCCCGCCGCAUGUGGGCCGAGCCGGGAGGCCUGCUACACCGCGCAUUCCGACGGAUUCCGGCACAUUCCGGAGCAUUCUGGCGCAUUCCAUGUGAAACAGCAGAAUCUGACACGCUCUGGGAAUCCACCCGCUGCAUCCAUGUUUCUGCAGGAGUAACAGCCAUAACUGAGAUACAUUGUACCGUUACCCACAUGAAGGCUUACAUACUGUAUUACUUAUUCUGGAAAUAAAAAUGAAACACCUACAACCAAAGAUGGCCUAGGAGGGUCAGGCUGCAAAAAUGCUGUUUGGAGUUUAUGCUUUACAAGAGUGACAAUACAGUUUGCUAGAAUUCUGAA